ACCAAAGCUGUCGGAGAAAAUGUUGGAUCUAUGAUAUGACUUUGAACCCAGGUCACUAAAAUCUUUCCCGACGCAGCAUCUUCUUUGGGAUUCUUAAGAAAGCUAAACCUGCAAAGACAAAUAUUAUGGCAACAAAAAUAAAUGCGUCAGGGGACACUGGAGCGCUGUUGUUUUCUCCUCUCUGCUUCUUCGUGUGAAGUACGCAAGCCUGGGGAAAAAGUGAAGUCUUGCCUUUAUCCUCUCUGAUUUAUAGCUGGCCUAGCUGAGAAAAAACAUGUGAAAGAGGAGGGAUAACAAAGAGAGCAAAAGAAGCAAGAGGGCCCAAUUUUGAUCCCUCCUUCCUGAGUUUUAAAACUGCAUGAUUUGAUUAGUUUAACAUCUGGCCAGCGCUCAUUGGUGCAACCCAUUGGUACAACGAGGGCAUCCCCUCCCCGGGAGCUGCCAGCGGGGGCCAGCUCUACUGUGCUCGUACGGGAGAUGGAUUCGGUGUAAGAGCUCAACCCAACCACGCUUUCCCUGAACUGUGGAAACAUGUAAACACAUCAGUAAGUCAUUUUUUUUGCUUAUAAAGGGCACAAAACAGUUCUCCGUCAUGUCCGAAGAAGGAACAUUUUUUAGGGAUUUGGUUUUUUGGUGCAUUGGUUGGCAGCUGACUUACUCCGUGCACUAACACAACACCAUAGGACACCUGCAGAAAGACCAAGUGGUACCCUCCGUUGUACCAUUCUAAACGUAUUGCUUCAAACCAGGACAAGCCAGGGAGCCACGUUCGCCGGCUGUGGGGUGGCUGCCCAGUGAAUCGAGGAGGGAAGAAGCCUUCUUGGGAAGAGACUUGCUCCUCGAUCAUGGACCACCCCGGCCACUUGCUCUGCCUCCCAUGGCUGGUGAGGCUGCAGCUGGUAGGCUCUUCAGAAGGCUUCUGGUGGCCAGAAGAUUUCUCUUUAAAGACUGAAACUAAAACUAAGCCCAUGUAUUUAUCUCCUUAAAUGCAUUUCCAGGCCUAUGAACUCUGGCAUGUCUUAAUCCCAUGUUUAAAGCCACAGUGUUUGGCACAAAUGCAUUUUUAAGGGGUCACAACAAUAACAGUAUCCCUUCUGAGAUGCUGCCCAACUAUCAAAUUAAGGCUGUUUAAUAAUACAGAGCAUGAAAACCAGCACCAUCAGCAGCCCUGGAAGGGAUAUGGAAAACCAAAAGCCCAAUGCCAAGGAGUACCUACAGAGACGUUUUCAUGGACACAUUACUGCAAACUAUUAAAAUUGUAGUGGAUACAAAACAAAUGAUCGUGUUUCC